rnacentral:rRNA from 1 species
UACGGAGGGUGCAAGCGUUGUUCGGAAUCACUGGGCGUAAAGCGCGUGUAGGCGGCCUUCUAAGUCUGAUGUGAAAGCCCGGGGCUCACCCCCGGAAGUGCAUUGGAUACUGGGAGGCUGGAGUACCGGAGAGGAGGGUGGAAUUCCUGGUGUAGCGGUGAAAUGCGUAGAUAUCAGGAGGAACACCGGUGGCGAAGGCGGCCCUCUGGACGGAUACUGACGCUGAGACGCGACAGCGUGGGGAGCAAACAGG